rnacentral:rRNA from 1 species
AUUGAACGCUGGCGGCAUGCCUUACACAUGCAAGUCGAACGGCAGCACGGGAGCAAUCCUGGUGGCGAGUGGCGAACGGGUGAGUAAUAUAUCGGAACGUGCCCAGUAGUGGGGGAUAACUGCUCGAAAGAGCAGCUAAUACCGCAUACGACCUGAGGGUGAAAGGGGGGGAUCGCAAGACCUCUCGCUAUUGGAGCGGCCGAUAUCAGAUUAGCUAGUUGGUGGGGUAAAGGCCUACCAAGGCAACGAUCUGUAGUUGGUCUGAGAGGACGACCAGCGACACUGGGACUGAGACACGGCCCAGAAUCCUACGGGAGGCAGCAGUGGGGAAUUUUGGACAAUGGGCGCAAGCCUGAUCCAGCAAUGCCGCGUGCAGGAAGAAGGCCUUCGGGUUGUAAACUGCUUUUGUCAGGGAAGAAAUCCUCUAGGUUAAUACCCUUGGGGGGAUGACGGUACCUGAAGAAUAAGCACCGGCUAACUACGUGCCAGCCGCCGCAGUAAAAC